CCCUUAGAUGUUCUGGGCCGCACGCGUGUUACAAUGGAGAGUUCAACGAGUUUUGCCCUUAAUCGAAAGGUUUGGGUAAUCUAAAACGCUCUCCGUGCUUGGGAUUGACUUUUGCAAUUUUUGGUCAUGAACGAGGAAUGCCUAGUAAACGCGAUUCAUCAAAUCGCAUUGAUUACGUCCCUGCCCUUUGUACACACCGCCCGUCGCAUCUAUCGAAGGCCAGCGUGGUGAAACGUAUGGACUGUGUCGCGGGCUCCGUGCCCGCACACGGGAAAUACUUUAAACCCUGCUGUUUUGAGAAAGAUGAAGUCGUAACA
rnacentral:rRNA from 1 species